rnacentral:lncRNA from 1 species
ACGGACCCGCCCCUGUCCUCCACGACCCUGGCGAGGAGCCCGCCCAGCCCGGCCGCGGGGAUCGGGGACGUCAGGUAGUCCAGCUUCACCUUGUAGUAGUCCUUGGGCUGCAGGCUCCGGUCCAGGAGCACCUCGGCCGCCUGUUCGCCCGUGUACCCGUAGAAGUAGAGCGUCGACUGGAUCCAGCUCAUCUCUCUGCAGUCGCCCGCCCUCACGUCGAGCUCUGGCAGGUGGGCGCUCAUCUCGGCGACCAUCCCGCUGCAGUUCCCGAGGAACAGUGACUUGAAGGUCACCGAUGGAUGCCUCUCGCCGGCGUCGUCGACCUCCGGCUCCAUGGCCACCUUCACGAACAGGUCCUCGGG